AUGAACGCUAGCGGCAGGCCUAAUACAUGCAAGUCGAACGGUAAGGCCCUUUCGGGGGUACACGAGUGGCGGACGGGUGCGUAACGCGUAUGCAACAUGCCUUCCAGCGGGGGACAUACCAGGGAAACUUGGCGCAGCACCCCAUAGUAUCAAAGGGCCGCAUGGCCUUCUGAUUAAAUCUCCGGAGCUGGGAGAUUGGCAUGCGUGGCAUUAGCUAGUUGGCGGGGUGAAGGCCCACCAAGGCUUCGAUGCCUAGCUGGUCUGAGAGGAUGAUCAGCCACACUGGGACUGAGACACGGCCCAGACUCCUACGGGAGGCAGCAGUAGGGAAUAUUGGACAAUGGGGGGAACCCUGAUCCAGCCAUGCCGCGUGAGGGAAGAAGGUCCUCUGGAUUGUAAACCUCUUUUGGCGGGGGACAAACCUGCGCUACACGCGCAGCUGAGGGUACCCGCAGAAUAAGCACCGGCUAACUCCGU
rnacentral:rRNA from 1 species